rnacentral:rRNA from 1 species
UAGGGAAUAUUGGACAAUGGGCGAAAGCCUGAUCCAGCAACGCCGCGUGUGCGAUGACGGCCUUCGGGUUGUAAAGCACUUUUAGAGGAGAUGAGAAAGGACAGUAUCCUCUGAAUAAGCCUCGGCGAACUACGUGCCAGCAGCCGCGGUAAAACGUAGGAGGCUAGCGUUAUCCGGAUUUAUUGGGCGUAAAGCGCGUGCAGGCGGUUUAUCAAGUUGGAUGUGAAAGCUCCUGGCUUAACUGGGAGAGGUCGUUCAAAACUGAUAGACUAGAGAAUGGUAGAGGGAGGUGGAAUUCCGGGUGUAGUGGUGAAAUGCGUAGAUAUCCGGAGGAACACCAGUGGCGAAGGCGGCCUCCUGGGCCAUUUCUGACGCUAAGACGCGAAAGCUAGGGUAGCAAACGG